GGCCUCGUAGCUGAGCUGGUGGAGCAUGCGCGUACAAAGCGUAGGCGGUGUCCAUGCGUGGGUUCGAACCCCACCGAGGCUA
rnacentral:tRNA from 1 species